rnacentral:lncRNA from 1 species
UGGUGGUUAAAAGCACAAUAUAAACACGAGGUGAUGCUAUUCUUUACCUUUCAGGCUAUGUGUGAUUUGUUUGUCUGUAUUUUUUUUAAUUUAGGGAGGAAAAGGUGAUCCUGGGGCCACUGGUGACAUUGGACAGAAAGGAACAAAGGGCUUACGAGGGCUUCCAGGACGCAUCGGUGCUCCUGGAGCUGAAGGCAUGAAGGGAGAAAUUGGCAGUCCUGGAAAACCAGGAAUCCCAGGAUCAGAUGGACCACACGGACAAAAGGGUGAAAAGGGAACAUCAGGAGACGAUGGUGCCUCGGGGAUUCCUGGGGAGAAAGGAGAAAAGGGAGCCAAAGGAGUUCCUGGCUUGGGAGGCUUCAAAGGACAAAUGGGAUGGCCUGGGAGGACUGGAGUUGCUGGACCAGAUGGCCCUCAAGGGCCACAGGGUGAACCAGGGCCCCAGGGUCCACGAGGGAAAAGAGGGAGACCUCAGCUCUGCCUCAGGGGACCCCCAGGCAUGGAUGGGAGAAAAGGAGAAAUGGGUGAAAAUGGUCCAGCCGGCCAGAAAGGAGAGAAGGGAGAUCCUGGUCUUUCUGAGGAAGAGGUGAAGGAGGUGGUCAGGAGCGAAAUGAGAGGCAGAUGCGGUAAGUCGGCCGGCGAGACGUGCUUGGGGCCACCACUCUGACACCUGCCAGUGACUAAAUUGGAGCAAUUUGAGUGCCAGCACAUGCUGGCUCGGCAGAGCAAAUAUCACCCCAUUAGCAGCAAGCGGAGACGCGUCCCCUUCUCCACGCUCGGAGAUGAGUGCGGGCUUCUGGGCCACGAGGUCUCUGCCAUAGUCCUGACC